rnacentral:rRNA from 1 species
AUACGUAGGGAGCGAGCGUUAUCCGGAUUUAUUGGGCGUAAAGCGCGCGUAGGCGGGCUAUUAAGUCAGGUGUCAAAGCCCGGGGCUCAACCCCGGCACGCACCUGAAACUGGUAGUCUUGAGUCUGGUAGGGGAAAGUGGAAUUCCCAGUGUAGCGGUGAAAUGCGCAGAUAUUGGGAAGAACACCAGUGGCGAAGGCGGCUUUCUAGGCCACGACUGACGCUGAGGCGCGAAAGCUAGGGGAGCAAACAGGAUUAGAUACCCUGGUAGUCCUAGCCGUAAACGAUGAAUACUAGGUGUGGGGGAGUAAUCUCUUCCGUGCCGCAGCUAACGCAUUAAGUAUUCCGCCUGGGGAGUACGGCCGCAAGGCUAAAACUCAAAUGAAUUGACGGGG